GCCUGGGUGGCUCAGUCGGUUGAGCGUCUGACUUUGGCUCAGGUCAUGAUCUCACGGUUUGUGAGUUCAAGUCCCGUGUCGGGCU
rnacentral:tRNA from 1 species